UACGUAGGGUGCAAGCGUUGUCCGGAAUUAUUGGGCGUAAAGAGCUCGUAGGCGGUCUGUCGCGUCGGAUGUGAAAAUCCAGGGCUCAACCCUGGACCUGCAUUCGAUACGGGCAGACUAGAGUUCGGCAGGGGAGACUGGAAUUCCUGGUGUAGCGGUGAAAUGCGUAGAUAUCGGGAGGAAGACCAGUGGCGAAGGCGGGUCUCUGGACAGUUCCUGACACUGAGGCACGAAGGCCAGGGGAGCAAACGGG
rnacentral:rRNA from 1 species